AUGCCCCGUCGCUUCCCUGCGCAGCCGCUGAGGCACCCGACGACGGCCGUGACGUCGCUGCCCUGCGCAGCCGCCGAGGCACCCGACAACGGCCACGACGACAAGGUCGCCGAGUCACUCGACGACGGCCAUGACGACGUGUUGUUCCCCAACACAGGUGCAGCCGCACAGAUGCCCUGCCAUGGCCACGACGAGGAGCUCCUCACUGACAUAGGCAGUAAUGAGACUAAGAAUCGUAUGGAAAGGGAGCGGUAUGCACGAAAUAGAGAGGAAAUAUUAAAGCAACGGCGACAAACCCGCGAGCAAAAUAAGCAUAUUGCUGCCGUCCUUGAUGGCAGUAACAUUGUAACGCAAGUGCCGGCUACCGGACAAUCUACAGUCACACAACUGCAGAACAUAACAAGUGCAGGGGGUGCGGUACCAAAUUUCGUCCAUUUGACCAGAGACAAUGUGGACGAUGAGUCCGAUUGGUUGCACAGAAAUGAUGUGUACCAGAUGCAACGGAAUUCAAGACGACUAACACCCACACUUAUGUCACUGGAUGAGAACCCCCAACUCAGUAUAGAUCCUUCUUAUGGCAAGAAACCUCUACCGAUCCAACGUAAUUAUAUUACUCCAGGGAUGGAACCGUCCCCAUAUGCAGGUCAAACCCCGGAUAAUCAAAUUGAAUGCUUGGGAGAUGGGAACCUAGGAGAAAAAUCUGGAGGCGUGGACCAUGAUGAAGAAGCUAGGAUCUUCGCCCAACCAGAUGUUUAUUUUCAAUCCUACCGAGUGGAGAAAAAUUAUGGUGAUGGAGAUCCCAAUAAUGAUGCUCACAAUAGAGUUUACAUGAACCUGACCAAAAAGCAUCAUGUGCUUAGAAAAGUUAUUGAUUGCCGCCAUUGUGGAGCUUUGCGAUUUCAAUACGAGGGGCCUGCGUUUUGCUGCAGAAAUGGGAAAGUGGAUGUAUUUACUCCAGAUGUUUGUGAGGAGUUGAAACAGUUGUUUACAAGUCAAGAUGAUGAGGAUGCUAGAUAUUUCAGAGAAAAUAUAUGGGUUAAGAGGUCUCCAAAUCUUAGGUUAGAUCUCAUAUGGAAGAUUCUGGCAAUACUAGAGCAUAACCCUUAUGCUCAAGUAUUUAAAAGCCUUGGUGUUGUUCCAAAUCUAGAUGAAUACAUGAUCUCAUUAAAUACUGAUAUCAAGCUUGACCAACGAAGGUACAAUGCGCCAACAACUUCUCAGGUAGCAGCAAUAUGGUUUCAAGGGAGCGACCCACAAAAAACCUUUGAUAGAAGUGUUAUCGUGUACGGGAAAGGAGAGUGUCCCCUGUAUAUUAGAGCAUACUAUGGGUGCUACGACCCUUUGUCAUAUCCACUAUUCUUCCCACGUGGGGAGAUCCAUUGGAAUCGUUUGAUGCCAUAUAUUGGGGCCGCCGAUGACACAAACCAAGAUUCAGUGGAUGAUUCUGCACGACAAGAGUACCCAGCCUAUGUUCUUCCUUCAGUAAUCCAUCUUGCAGACGAUAACAUGAUUAGCAAACAACUUGGUCAUGAGGCAAGACAUGAAGACCAGGCCACUGAUUUAGCUGCAGAACAACUUGAUCAUGGCGGACGACAUGACGACCAGGCCACUGAUUUAGCUGCAGUACUAAUUUGGACGAUGUUGUUCAGUUCAUGGUUCCUGAAAUUGGUAUGUGGUCUACCAUAUAUGUGGCAGGAAGAGGCUAGUGCCCAAGAGUUUGUCGAUGAAAGAGCUGGGCGCAAGCUGGAUGGUCUUCAUGUGCUCAACUCUGCUCGGCCAAUGAGGUCACCGCCACCACAAGAACAUUCACUUAAGGAGAGCCACCUGGAAGCGCAACUCGACUGUCUCCCUCCCUCCCAUGGUGUUCAUUAUUUCAACUCGAGGAACUUGCUGGCACCUGAUUCAACAGGGAGGAUAUUGCCAACAUUGAGGAACUUGCUGGCAAAAGUGUGA
rnacentral:rRNA from 1 species